UCACUUGCAGUGGUGGAGCCAAGGGAGACAGGCAAAGGCACCUGCCUCUCCUAAAAUAGAAAAAUUUUCAUUUAGGCUCUUUAUAAUUUAUAAAAUUUUAAAUUAAUAACGGUAAAAUUACUCUUUGCCCCCCCAAAAUAAAAAAAUAUGAUUUAAAAUUACAUUUUUACUAUCGUCAAAAUAUACAAUUUAAUUCCCC
rnacentral:lncRNA from 1 species